rnacentral:misc_RNA from 1 species
AACGGUCUAUACCUGCGGUACCUGCGGAAGGAUCAUUACUGAAUUGAUUUUGGGGAUGUUGCUGGUCUCUUGAGGCAAUGGUGCACUCCCUCAAACAUUUCACAAUUUCCAUCUUACCCAUGUGCACAUCCUGUAGGUGGUCUCCCAACCCACCCUCCAAGGAAAGGGGGGGAGUGUGUGGGUCUGGUCUCCUAUGUAUUUCCUUGCCAACAUCACACGUUUUGACUGAGUGAAUCCUGU